rnacentral:rRNA from 1 species
UGGGAAAUUUUGGACAAUGGGCGAAAGCCUGAUCCAGCAAUGCCGCGUGUGUGAAGAAGGCCUUCGGGUUGUAAAGCACUUUUGUCCGGAAAGAAAUCCUUGGCUCUAAUACAGUCGGGGGAUGACGGUACCGGAAGAAUAAGCACCGGCUAACUACGUGCCAGCAGCCGCGGUAAUACGUAGGGUGCAAGCGUUAAUCGGAAUUACUGGGCGUAAAGCGUGCGCAGGCGGUUUGCUAAGACCGAUGUGAAAUCCCCGGGGCUCAACCUGGGAACUGCAUUGGUGACUGGCAGGCUAGAGUAUGGCAGAGGGGGGUAGAAUUCCACGUGUAGCAGUGAAAUGCGUAGAGAUGUGGAGGAAUACCGAUGGCGAAGGCAGCCCCCUGGGCCAAUACUGACGCUCAUGCACGAAAGCGUGGGGAGCAAACAGGAUUAGAUACCCUGGUAGUCCACGCCCUAAACGAUGUCAACUGUUGUUGGGGAUUCAUUUCCUUAGUAACGUAGCUAACGCGUGAAGUUGACCGCCUGGGGAGUACGGUCGCAAGAUUAAAACUUAAAUGGAAUUGAC